rnacentral:lncRNA from 1 species
GUUUCAAGCACAAGAUUGGACUAGAAUAUACUCCUGGGUCCCUUCUGGCUCCAGGAUUUCAAGAGUGCUUGACUUUUAAUCCUAUACCAAUGGUCUUACAAGUAUACAGACUUUAACAGGAAAUGAGAUGAGGUGAAGGAAUGUGGGUGAAGCUGUGCAAAUCUAUCACGAUUCCUACAUAAAGUACUUAAAGAACGUGCUACACAAAGUAGUCUCUAAAGACCUUUCCAGGCUCUUAAUUCUGUGAUUCGGUGGCUUUCUCUUAGAUGAUAGUAGGCAUUGAUACAGUCUUUAUACCAGGAAGAUACCCCAGUACCCAGGGUGUGACAGAGAAACUCAGGAAUUCUAGUUAAGAUACCAUCCCCAUUCCUGUAAAAGGUGAAAAGUUAUUAUAGUUCAAGGGAGGUGGUGGAUUAACCACUGGCCUGAGAAACACAAUAGCUCUCAAGGUGGACUAGAAUGUAGAACCCACACUAUUGGAGGAGACAAUAGAAGAGAAUGCAGAGUGUGAUCCAAUAGAAUGAAACCAAAUGGGGAAUAAGGUGGAAGAGACAAUGGAAGUGGUCAAGAAUCUUGGGUGGGAAUAUAGAGGAGGUAGGGUAGGGAAGGAUGACUCGGUCUUGUGAAAACCCACCACAUGGAGAAAUCAAAACCUUACCAACAGGAGAAGUCAAAUGCCUUGUAAAGGCAGGCUAAGAAGACAACCAGUGACAUCAUGGGGCUGGUGUCAACUUUGGUAUUCAUUCAUCAAGGAAGGUUUUUUUAGAAGAUGUGGGCCUUGAAGAACGGGACUCGUGGGACCUCAGAACUUGAAAGGGACUCAGUGAGGAUCCAGUGUAACCCACAGUGAAUAAGAAUUACAUCUCUGUAAAGGCAUCAAUGAGUCAGUUCCUGCAUGAAGGCCUCUAGAUGUGGGAGAAGAAAAUUUAUUAAACACCUGCCAUGUCCAGAGCACUGUGCUAGGCACUGGAAAAAUACCAAAUUUGAAUAAAAUCCAGUCUCCUGCCCUCA